rnacentral:tRNA from 1 species
GCCUUCGUAGUGUAAUGGUCAGCACAUUCGGUGCGUAUUCGAGAGGUCCGAGGUUCGAGUCCCGGUGAGGGCA